rnacentral:rRNA from 1 species
GACGAACGCUGGCGGCGUGCUUAACACAUGCAAGUCGAACGGAAAGGCCCUGCUUUUGUGGGGUGCUCGAGUGGCGAACGGGUGAGUAACACGUGAGUAAACUGCCCUUGACUUUGGGAUAACUUCACGAAACUGGGGCUAAUACCGGAUAGGAGCUCCUGCUGCAUGGUGGGGGUUGGAAAGUUUCGGCGGUUGGGGAUGGACUCGCGGCUUAUCAGCUUGUUGGUGGGGUAGUGGCUUACCACGGCUUUGACGGGUAGCCGGCCUGGGAGGGUGACCGGCUACAUUGGGACUGAGAUACGGAGCAGAAUGCUACGGGAGGCAGCAGUGGGGAAUCUUGCAGAAUGGGCGGAAGCCUGAUGCAGCAACGCCGCGUGCGGGAUGACGGCCUUCGGGUUGUAAACCGCUUUCGCCUGUGACGAAGCGUGAGUGACGGUAAUGGGUAAAGAAGCACCGGCUAACUACGUG